AACGUAGGUCACAAGCGUUGUCCGGAAUUACUGGGUGUAAAGGGAGCGCAGGCGGGAAGACAAGUUGGAAGUGAAAUCUAUGGGCUCAACCCAUAAACUGCUUUCAAAACUGUUUUUCUUGAGUAGUGCAGAGGCAGGCGGAAUUCCCGGUGUAGCGGUGGAAUGCGUAGAUAUCGGGAGGAACACCAGUGGCGAAGGCGGCCUACUGGGCACCAACUGACGCUGAGGCUCGAAAGUGUGGGUAGCAAACAGG
rnacentral:rRNA from 1 species